rnacentral:lncRNA from 1 species
CCGAAAGCAGCAAAUCACAGGCUCAACUUUACCAAUCCCUACAUCUCUCUGGGUUGAAAUUAGCAUCACUAUUUGUGUUGAACACAAGUUUGUUGUACUAAACUGUACGAACUAAAACUCGGAUUUUUUUUCUUUUUUGAUAAUUCGGGGGUUGGGGUUGGGACCUAUCGCUUUUGCAAGAAGUAUGGGGGUACCAACUGAG